rnacentral:rRNA from 1 species
GGGUAGAGUAAUGCGUGACCAACCUGCCCCAUGCUCCAGAAUAGCUCUUGGAAACGGGUGGUAAUGCUGGAUGCUCCAACUUGACGCAUGUCUUGUUGGGAAAGUGUUUAGUGGCAUGGGAUGGGGUCGCGUCCUAUCAGCUUGUAGGCGGGGUAAUGGCCCACCUAGGCUUCGACGGGUAGCCGGCCUGAGAGGGCGGACGGCCACAUUGGGACUGAGAUACGGCCCAGACUCCUACGGAGGCAGCAGGC